rnacentral:tRNA from 1 species
GGGCCCUUAGCCUAGCCAGGAUAUGGCGCUGGUCUUCGGAUGAUUAUAUAGGAGAAAACCGGAGGUCGCAGGUUCAAAUCCUGCAGGGCCCG